UAUUCCGAAAGAAACCUCCCAGCAUAAACCCGUAUAGGAGGAUUCGAACACAGGGAAUGACUAGUUGCUUAAGAGUUCACGUUAGGGUCACACAAUCAAUUACCUCCUGAAUGUAUCAUCUCUAUUUCCAAUAUCUGAACACACAAGGAAACUAUAAUCUCCUCCUUCACCUUAUCGAUCUCUUUCUUACAACAAUUCAGUCAUACUAAUAACUCCUAUUUCCACUAAUAUAUUCACCCUCAUAAUCUCCAACUGUAAUACUACGCCCUCACAGCUUUCAGCACACAAUUAUCCUCGUUCCAAUCAAUAAAAUUCUUCACACAUAACUGCCAUUCACAUUACAAUGUUUUACACAAACACAGACUCAUUUUCUCUGUUGAAAUACAAUCAGAUUUCAACAUUCAAUCUUUCUUUUUCUCAAAUAAUACCAAUCACAUUUCCAUUCCAUAAUUCACUUCACAAUAUUUAAAAACUUUCAAUCCUUUUAUUCAAAGAAAAUAACAAACAAAAGAAAAGAGGUAGCACCAAGCUUACCCCAGCUCACAAUUCUCACAGUCUGGCAUUUUCUUUUCCUCUCCCAUCCUCCUUAUAUUACCCUAAGAUACCAACUCCUAUACUACACAUGAUAAUUACUUUUCCUGACUAUUCAUCCAUUCUACCUGCUGAACCACCUUUUCAGCAGUUAUCUAUCCAUGUUUACACUAUACACUAGGUAUCUACAUUCUGAAAAUAACUACUUAUUCUACAUAGCCCAACUUCUAACUGUGCAGCAUCCUCGCAAACACUCAAUUGAUACCUAUCUAAAA
rnacentral:lncRNA from 1 species